GAGUUUGAUCGUGGCUCAGAUUGAACGCUGGCGGCAUGCCUUACACAUGCAAGUCGAACGGCAGCAUGAUCUAGCUUGCUAGAUUGAUGGCGAGUGGCGAACGGGUGAGUAAUACAUCGGAACGUGCCCUGUAGUGGGGGAUAACUAGUCGAAAGAUUAGCUAAUACCGCAUACGACCUGAGGGUGAAAGUGGGGGACCGCAAGGCCUCAUGCUAUAGGAGCGGCCGAUGUCUGAUUAGCUAGUUGGUGGGGUAAAGGCCCGACCAAGGCGACGAUCAGUAGCUGGUCUGAGAGGACGAUCAGCCACACUGGGACUGAGACACGGCCCAGACGUCCUACGGGAGGCAGCAGUGGGGAAUUUUGGACAAUGGGCGAAAGCCUGAUCCAGCAAUGCCGCGUGUGUGAAGAAGGCCUCGG
rnacentral:rRNA from 1 species